CAUGUCUAUUUGAAGAUAUAAAAAGUCUAGCCUGCUCACUGAUAUUAUUUUAAGAGCCGCGGUAUUUCUGACUGUGCAAAGGUAGCAUAAUCGUUAGUUUUUUAAUUGAAAUCUUGUAUGAAGGGUUUGACAAAAAAAAGACUGUCUUUAUAAUUAAUAAUCGAAUUUAACUUUUAAGUGAAAAGGCUUAAAUGAAUUAAAAAGACGAUAAGACCCUAUAAAGCUUAAUAUUAAUUUAUUAUUUAACAAAAUUUGCGUAAUAUAAAUGUUUGGUAAUAUUUUUUAUUUUAUUGGGGUGAUAAUGGUAAAAUGAUAAAUAACUGUUAAUUUUUUUUUAACAAAGAUAAAUGAAUAAAAUAUUUACUUUAUAAAUGAUCCUAUAUAAAGAUUUAAAGUUUAAGUUACUUUAGGGAUAACAGCGUAAUUUUUUUUGAGAGUUCAUAUCGAGAAAAAAGUUUGCGACCUCGAUGUUGAAUUAAAAUAUCUAUA
rnacentral:rRNA from 1 species